ACGAACGCCGGGCGGCGCGUUUUAAGCAUGCAAGUCGAACGGUAUACACUGCUUCGGUGGUGUAGAGAGUGGCGAACGGGUGAGUAACACGUAGAUGAUCUGGCUCUGGGACGGGGAUAGCCCAUGGAAACAUGGGGUAAUAGCUGAUAAGGCCACGGGGGUAGAGCCUUGUGGUGAAAGGGGGCAAAUGUCCCGCCUGGAGAUGAGUCUGCGGUCCAUUAGCUAGUUGGUGGGGUAAGGGCCUACCAAGGCGACGAUGGAUAGCCGGCCUGAGAGGGUGAACGGCCACACUGGGACUGAGAGACGGCCCAGACUCCUACGGGAGGCAGCAGCUAAGAAUCUUCCGCAAUGGGCGAAAGCCUGACGGAGCGACGCCGCGUGAACGAAGAAGGCCGUAAGGUUGUAAAGUUCUUUUCUUUGCGAGGAAUAAGGCAGGGAGUGGACUGCUCUGCUGAUGACGGUAGCGAAGGAAUAAGCACCGGCUAAUUACGUGCCAGCAGCCGCGGUAAUACGUAAGGUGCGAGCGUUGUUCGGAAUUAUUGGGCGUAAAGGGCGUGUAGGCGGCUCGUCAAGUCUGGUUUGAAAGGUCUCGGCUCAACUGAGACAGUGGGCUGGAAACUGGCGGGCUAGAGUUCAGAGGGAGGAGCUGGAAUUCCUGGUGUAGGGGUGAAAUCUGUAGAUAUCAGGAAGAACACCGGUAGCGAAGGCGAGCUUCUAUGAAUGGACUGACGCUGAGGCGCGAAAGCGUGGGGAGCAAACAGGAUUAGA
rnacentral:rRNA from 1 species